GGAAUAUCUCCGUGCGUGAGCGACUGUGUCCACCCAACAUUGAACAGCUGUUUUGUUGAGGCCCUUUCCCCGCCCCACAGAAUUCCCUAAAUUAUUUGUUACCGUUGUUUACAUACACCCCAAGGCGGACGCCAAAUUUGUGGCUGACACCAUUUUGAAAGUGACUCAGAAACUGCAACCCAUCUCUCCGGAAGCCCCGAACGUUAUAAUGAGAGAUUUUCAAUCUUUGUCAUUUAAAGGAAUCGUUGAACAGGUUCUAUCAAUAUGUCACCUGCUUCACGCAUUACAACAAAACUCUGGACCUCUGCUAUGGUUCCAUUAAAGGGGCGUAUAAGUCUAUCACUGGAACCACUCGUGGAUCAUCUGACCAUAACCAUAACCUUCUGCCCAUACAUAAGACCGUUUUGCAGAGGAAGAAGGUGCACAAACGACAAGUUAAGGUUUAGUAGACAGUAGACUGUACCAUGGUCUUGCAGGGCUGCUGUGAUCGCACAGACUUGGCAGUGUUCCAAGACUUUACGGAUGAUUUAGAUGGUCUUACCGAUGUUGUGUACAGCUGUGUUUCCUUUUGCAAGGACUGUGCGAUCCCUACCAGAGAAGUAAUGGUUUUUCUGAAAAACAAACUGUGGAUUUCGAAACCUCCGAAAGGACUUGUAUGUGAAAGGAAAGCUGCUUUUACGGUCGGCUAUGUAGAAGCAGAGAGGGAAUCUGCAGUAAGAAGGAAGCGAGGUCUGAAAUUAAAAAGUCUAAGCUGAGUUACAAGAAUAAGAUUGAGGCUGAGCUCAGCAGUAAUAAUCUAAAAACUGCCUGGAAUGAAAUGAGAAUGAUGACAAGCUCACAUGAUAUGGGCAAUAGGGGUAUCAGUCUUGAUGGUUUUAAUUCAAACACACAACUGGCUGAAGAAAUAUGGUUUUUAUCUGAGGUUUGAUGAUCAUGGUUUUACAACACAAUUAAGGCAUAGGACGAAGGCCAGGUUACUUAAGGCUUAUCCUGAGGAACUCUGUAACAUCGUUCAUUUUAUUUUUAUGCAAUCUCUUCAGCUGCAGAAGGUACCUAAACUUCACUAUGUUUCCUCUAGCCAAAAGUAAAAUGCCCAUGGUUUUAAAUGAUUUUAGGCCAGUAGCUCUUAUUUCUUUAAAGGAUGCUUUGGAAAGUUAAUUAAGAAAAAUAAAUUUUGCAGCAGGUGGAGACAUUACUAGAGCCCUUGUGGUUUGCAUACAGGGCGAGCAGAGGUGUGGAGGAUGCCAGCCUUAUCUUACUUAACUUUCUAUACAAGCGUCUUAAGGGCCCUAAGACUCACGCCAGGCUUUUAUUCACAGAUUUCUUUUUUGGCUUUUAACACUAUCCAGCCACAUCUCCUAGCAGAGAAACUGCUUUCUCAUUUUUUCAUUGAUCUUCACAUUAUUGGCUGUUUGUUAGACUUUUUUAGCUGGUUAGGUGUCAGUGUGGGAGAGUAACCGUGAGAGAUGCCCUCCAGUGGCAGAUGAAGCCCUCACGACCUGCACAGCCAGGUCUGUGGGCCUGCGCUCGGCUCGUAAUGAAGAGAACCGAAAGAUUUCCACGGCCUUCUGGGACGUGUUGUUUUCUUGCGCGGUUUGUGACUCACUCCUGGCCGUGCGGGUCGAUGUCGUGUGCAGGUCGGUUAUGAAAGCUCUCUGCUUCCUGCUGCGUCGGCGUUCCGCUGGUUAUUACAGACCCGAGAGCGCUUAUGGCCCGUCAGGGCUCUCUGCAGGCGUGGAAGUGAUCUCACUUCUGCAUCACUUUCGAAACAAACGAUUUUUUCCGUUAUGCAGAACCUCGGUGCACGGAAAUCUGAAGAGACAGGCUAGGCUGUCUGACCUUUCUCACUGAUUUUUUGUUUUUGUUUUUUCAUUUUAAUCCUUAGUUUUAUGCCUGAUCAUUGUCCUGAUUGGUUGAUUUCUGUACUGAUUUUCUACUGUCUGCUGUCUACCUUAUGGAAAUGGAGUACACUCCCAUGAAAUAAUAAAUAUAUUUCACAAAUGAUAAAUAUACAGUAUCAAAGAAAAAUAAUGGCAGUUAUGUCUAUAUUUAACCAUAUAUUUUGGGAAGUGUUGCAUUACUGUAUGUCAUUUUAUAUUGAUAAUUUAUUUCUUUAUAUUUUGUGUAGCUGUGUGUGCCAUUUCUCACACAGGGUCUCAGUGAUCCCCUCAGAAUGCAGGCCAAGGAAUUUCCCAGGGUGCUUUGCGCUUGUGCUGUCCGCAUGCUAAUGUGUGUCACAACCAUAAUUACAGCCUCUGAAUCACAACGAGCUGCCAAUUGUUUUGUUUUUUUUUCAUUAGAGACUUGUAACGUCUACCGAAGAACGAUUUACCCACUUAGGACCACAUUAUGUCAUGAACAGCUAUCCACACCAAUUAAGAAUAAAUAUCAUAUAUUCACAUCCCAAGGACAUUGAAUCGGUCAGAAGGAAUAAUGAUUUUGUGUGCUGCAUGGCAAAGAGUUUUGUUAGAAAGAGAUUCCAUGUUUAAAAUUUUUCAAAGACAGGUGAAACGAAAGUAUCAUGGAAAAUGGAGGCAGGGGUUUUUGACAAGGUUGAAAAACAGUACAAGCAGCGGUGAGCUAAACCUCCAUUGUGUUGAAACUUGAACUUUAGGAUUACUGUGAGCCAUUUUCCGUCACAGCUGUCUGUAGAGCUGUGGGUGUGCACCUGCCACACCCUCAUGGGGUUGUGAGGUAAUCAUUACAUUACAUUAUUACAUUACAGGCAUUUGGCAGACGCUCUUAUCCAGAGCGACGUACAACAAAGUGUAUAACCAUAACCAGGAACAAGUAUGACGAAACCCCUAGAGAGAAGUACCGGUCCAAGUGCAGGGAACAACCGCAUAGUUCAACUUGGACCCUGAAGGUUAAACUGAUUAACACUAACACAACGAGAACGGCAACAACGCCAUCUAUGGAAAAAAUACAAGCAGUAGUUAAGACAGUUAAUGCACCUAAGUCACCUACGAAACAGCUGCCUAGUUAUAACCCUAAGCUUACAGUCAUUUACAGGGGGGUAGGGAGGGAUGGGGAGAGGUGCAGCCUGAAGAGGUGAGUCUUCAGUCGUCGUUUGAAAUGGGUCAGUGUCUCAGCUGUUCUGACCUCCUCAGGGAGUGGAAUUGGAUUUUAAAAAAACAAGGAGGUGUGAUGGAAAGGUGAAUGAGAGGGUGUUCACCUAAUUCCUGGUAAUUACAUUAAAGAAGGUCUAGAAAUGUCCUUAAAACUAGGUUUAAAAUCUCCCUGACUAUUUAAAGCUAUUUAUACUUUGUCUCUGUGCAAAGUGGACUAAAGGCAAAGGUGAGGGGGAAGGGCUCAUUCCAAUCACUUGUUGUAUCCAUCCUCGUCUCCUCGGCCCUCAACUGACCCAGAAAUCAGUCAAGCCGCCAUCUUUGAUGACAGAGCUAGGAUGCUUGAGCGAGCAUACACGAGUGCAUACUUUGUGAAAGUUUUUUUUUUUUUUUUGGGAACGACUGAUGGGUAUAAAUGAUCGACCUGUGGAUCCACAUCUGCCACAUAUGCCACAUCCGUAAUUGACGUGGCUUCAAACUGACAAUUGGCUGAAUAAGAACGUUCCAUUUCCUUGAUUUAUCCUCCAAUUGGUGCAGCUAGGAGCAUGGAAAGGACACAAGGAUAGGAUGCAAGGAGAUAAAACGAGCGGUUGGAAUGAGCCCAGAGACUGACGUGGUGCGGUCGAAGUUAGGGAGAUUGGGAGAGAGACAGUUGAGGCAUCUAAUGAAAGAAGUUUUAGUGUUUUCCUGUGCUUUCUACCGCAGUUGGGGGGGGGG